rnacentral:misc_RNA from 1 species
AAGUCGUAACAAGGUUUCCGUAGGUGAACCUGCGGAAGGAUCAUUAGAGAUUGGCCUAACGGCCGUGUCUUCAUCCACACACACCGUGAACCGUUUUGGAGCCCUUUGGGGUUUCAGACAACACCAAAAACAUAAUGUAAAGAAUGUAAAUUAUCGUAACAAAACAAAACUUUCAACAACGGAUCUCUUGGCUCUC